rnacentral:tRNA from 1 species
GAAGGUAUAGUUCAAGUGGUAGAGUUCUUGCUUAGCAUGCAUGAGGUCCUGGGUUCAAUCCCCAGUAGCUCCU